CAGGGAUUUCUAGGAAAAUAAGCGAUAUUUCAGGUGAAAAACAGGGAUUUCUGGGAAAAUAAGCGAUAUUUCAGGUUAAAAACAGGGAUUUCUAUGAAAAUAAGCGAUAUUUAAGGUUAAAAACAGGGAUUUCUAUGAAAAUAAGCGAUAUUUAAGGUUAAAAACAGGGAUUUCUAUGAAAAUAAGCGAUAUUUUAGGGGAAAAAGAGGGAUUUCUAUGAAAAUAAGCGAUAUUUAAGGUUAAAAACAGGGAUUUCUAUGAAAAUAAGCGAUAUUUAAGGUUAAAAACAGGGAUUUCUAUGAAAAUAAGCGAUAUUUUAGGGGAAAAACAGGGAUUUCUAUGAAAAUAAGCGAUAUUUUAGGUUAAAAACAGGGAUUUCUAUGAAAAUAAGCGAUAUUUAUGGUUAAAAACAGGGAUUUCUAUGAAAAUAAGCGAUAUUUCAGGUUAAAAACAGGGAUUUCUAUGAAAAUAAGCGAUAUUUAAGGGGAAAAACAGGGAUUUCUAUGAAAAUAAGCGAUAUUUCAGGUUAAAAACAGGGAUUUCUAUGAAAAUAAGCGAUAUUUCAGGUUAAAAACAGGGAUUUCUAUGAAAAUAAGCGAUAUUUCAGGUUAAAAACAGGGAUUUCUAUGAAAAUAAGCGAUAUUUCAGGUUAAAAACAGGGAUUUCUAUGAAAAUAAGCGAUAUUUAAGGUUAAAAACAGGGAUUUCUAGGAAAAUAAGCGAUAUUUCAGGUUAAAAACAGGGAUUUCUAUGAAAAUAAGCGAUAUUUAAGGUUAAAAACAGGGAUUUCUAUGAAAAUAAGCGAUAUUUUAGGGGAAAAACAGGGAUUUCUAUGAAAAUAAGCGAUAUUUAAGGUUAAAAACCGGGAUUUCUAUGAAAAUCAGCGAUAUUUAAGGGGAAAAACAGGGAUUUCUAUGAAAAUAAGCGAUAUUUUAGGG